rnacentral:rRNA from 1 species
AGAGUUUGAUCCUGGCUCAGAUUGAACGCUGGCGGAAUGCUUUACACAUGCAAGUCGAACGGCAGCACGGGAGCUUGCUCCUGGUGGCGAGUGGCGAACGGGUGAGUAAUGCGUCGGAACGUACCGAGUAAUGGGGGAUAACGCAGCGAAAGCUGUGCUAAUACCGCAUACGCCCUGAGGGGGAAAGUGGGGGAUCGCAAGACCUCACGUUAUUCGAGCGGCCGACGUCUGAUUAGCUAGUUGGUGGGGUAAUGGCUCACCAAGGCGACGAUCAGUAGCGGGUCUGAGAGGAUGAUCCGUCACACUGGAACUGAGACACGGUCCAGACUCCUACGGGAGGCAGCAGUGGGGAAUUUUGGACAAUGGGGGCAACCCUGAUCCAGCCAUGCCGCGUGAGCGAUGAAGGCCUUCGGGUUGUAAAGCUCUUUAGUCCACGAUUAUAAU